rnacentral:rRNA from 1 species
GAUGAACGCUGGCGGCGUGCCUAAUACAUGCAAGUCGAGCGAACAGACGAGGAGCUUGCUCCUCUGACGUUAGCGGCGGACGGGUGAGUAACACGUGGAUAACCUACCUAUAAGACUGGGAUAACUUCGGGAAACCGGAGCUAAUACCGGAUAAUAUAUUGAACCGCAUGGUUCAAUAGUGAAAGACGGUUUUGCUGUCACUUAUAGAUGGAUCCGCGCCGCAUUAGCUAGUUGGUAAGGUAACGGCUUACCAAGGCAACGAUGCGUAGCCGAACUGAGAGGGUGAUCGGCCACACUGGAACUGAGACACGGUCAAGAAUCCUACGGGAGGCAGCAGUAGGGAAUCUUCCGCAAUGGGCGAAAGCCUGACGGAGCAAAGCCGCGUGAGUGAUGAAGGUCUUCGGAUCGUAAAACUCUGUUAUUAGGGAAGAACAAAUGUGUAAGUAACUAUGCACGUCUUGACGGUACCUAAUCAGAAAGCCACGGCUAACUACGUG